GAUGAACGCUGGCUACAGGCUUAACACAUGCAAGUCGAGGGGAAACGGCAUCGAAAGCUUGCUUUUGAUGGGCGUCGACCGGCGCACGGGUGAGUAACGCGUAUCCAACCUGCCCAUCACUUGGGAAUAACCUUGCGAAAGUAAGACUAAUGCCUAAUGACAUCCCACGAAGGCAUCCGAAUGGGAUUAAAGAUUUAUCGGUGAUGGAUGGGGAUGCGUCUGAUUAGCUUGUUGGCGGGGUGACGGCCCACCAAGGCAACGAUCAGUAGGGGUUCUGAGAGGAAGGUCCCCCACAUUGGAACUGAGACACGGUCCAAACUCCUACGGGAGGCAGCAGUGAGGAAUAUUGGUCAAUGGGCGAGAGCCUGAACCAGCCAAGUAGCGUGCAGGAUGACGGCCCUAUGGGUUGUAAACUGCUUUUAUAAGGGAAUAAAGUGGGUCACGUGUGACUUUUUGCAUGUACCUUAUGAAUAAGGACCGGCUAAUUCCGUG
rnacentral:rRNA from 1 species